rnacentral:lncRNA from 1 species
UUUUUUUUGGUUUUAUUAUUUUACGAGCGUUCACUGAACCGUUCGUUUUAACGAACGCGUUCGUCGGUUUUUCUUUGUUAACGAACGUCCGUUAUUUAACCGUUCGUCCGUUUUUCUUUUUCGUCGGAUUUUUCUCGUUAUUUUCUCAGAUUCGAUUUCUGAUCGAAUCUUCGAUUCUGUUUAACUUCUCGCUCGUUUAUCGGAAUCAGGCGAUUCAAGCGCCUAGAGUUUCGUCUCGAAAUUCUCUUUCUGUUUAACCUACUCAAACAAGUUUUUGCUACAGUAAAAUUUGACCUAGAUCCAGAUUAGCAUACGAAGUUUCUUUCUUUCGCCGUUUGACUUUCGUUGCUUCUUUCGAGUUGAUUCUUUUUGCAAACCGGAGUUCUUAAGUUGAACUUUCUGGUUGGAUCUUUCAUUCGAGUUUUACCUGUGCAUUAGAUGAGUACUGAUUGUAUGCUUGUUUGUUUGCGAUAGAGUACCCGGAGUGUGCCGCUUGUUACUUCGAGUCGCUAGGUUUUGCGGAUCAUCAGCAAGGCAAGUAACACUUUGAUCAUAUCCCGUUCAUACCCAGUUUUAUUGCAUUAGAUCUGUUUUCCUCAAACAUUGCAUGAUUAGGAUCUAAUUAAAUUGUGGGUAUUGGGAAGUAGUUGAGGUAGAACCUAUUACCUGUUUUCUAUUCAAACCCUUGGGAGUUACUUCUACGUUGCUUUUAUUAUUGCUAUGCUAUGCUCGUAGACGUGGAUUGGGUUUGAGUGAAAUUCAUGACACAUGUGAGAUUGUUAAUUAAUGGUUUACUUAAGGUGGCAACUUAAACUCACAUCUGGGUGGAUUGAGGUACCUGGGUAUUCCAGGAUUGCCUGUUUUUCUUUUGGACCGCCACCCAGGUUCAAGAGGAUCAUGAGAUUAUUCAUGCUAGGAACUUCCGUGUGCAGCCGCAAGCUAUUAUGGGCUCUAGCAUAGUUGACUAAGUUGUGUGAACUCUUACAGUGGUAGACUAGCAGAUGUAGGGGAAAGUAGGUGUAACUGUCUACCCAUACGUAAGGUGCAAACACUUCUGAAAGACUGUGUCUUGGUCAUCCGUUACUCAAACACCAUGUAGUGCGAGUAAUCCAACGGAGGAGAUCAAGUCUUGUGGGGAAAAGUGCACAAACCUCUGCAGAGUGUACAAACUAAUCAUGGUUAGCCGUGUCCCCGGUUAUGGACAACUUGAGUAUCUGGUACUUGGAUUAUCAUGUGAAUCCCAACACUAUGUUACUUCUAAUUAAUUUUGUUGGGUUAUUGAUGACUUCUAAUUGGGAUUGAGAUGCUGUCAACCAUCUCAAUGUUUCACAACCACCAUGAUAGUUAAAUAAAAUUUAUUCCUGUGAAGUAGGAUAAAAUUGGCUUUUCGCAAAAACUGUAACCAUAGAGCUUUCCACCAGCCAUAUAUGCAUGUAGUAUAGCAUUGUUAUUCAUUAUUCUCUAUGUGUUACAUUGCUAGCAUAUUCUAUGUGCUGACCCGUUUUCGGGCUGCAACGUUUCAUGUUGCAGACUUUUCAGACGACGAGUAAGAUGCCUUAGGUCGUGGUCUUAUACUCAGUGAUGCCGCUGGAGUUGAUGGACUCACUUAUCUUCCAAGUCUUCCGCUGUUAUCGUUAUUAGAUGGCCUUAAGCCAUGCUUAUCAUACUUAAUCUCUUCGGAGAUAUUCGAUGUAAAUAAGUGUGUGAUUGCCACUCUGUUAUAAAUCCUCCAUUUGUACUGUGCGUGUCAGCAUUACUGAUCCAGGGAUGACACUGGUGCACAGCAGCACAGACCAUUUGAGGUCUGGUCGCUACAAAGUUGGUAUCAGAGCACACGCUGACUAUAGGACACGACCACUAAUCUUAAGCCCUAGAAAGCUUCUCUCUUCUCAUUUCUGACCCCUCUCCACUUUCUACUCUUUUAGGAAUGGCGAAUGCAAGGAGCAAGUUCAUGCAACCGGAUGAAGACACGCCGUUUGGUCGGCAUUUGAAGGAAGUCACCAAGUACUUGAACAUAGGAAUACCAAGCAUCACCGGAACCUACAACGCCACAUUACCUGAAGAGGAGAGCUGGAAGAUUCAAGUUAUCAUUCCAGGAAGGACGUUUGAGCCAGUUACUGAACCCAUGAGAUUGGUUUUCGAAGCAACAACUUGGAGUUUAGGGAAGAGCAUGGCCGCACACAUCGCCAUGGGACGCAUCGGAGAAGUCUACCACCAGGAGCUUAAGGAUACAAUUUAUCAGAUUUGUGGACGUCGAGACGCGCAAUGGGAGAUGAUCAGAACCAAGAAGGAUGGAUCAAUUGCAGCUUUCAUCCAGGAGCAGAACCAACAUAUUCGACGCCAGGAGAAUCAGAUGUGCACGGACAAGGAAGAACUGAAGAAGGCAUUAACGAAGAUCAAGGAACUCCAAGGAGAACUCAAGGCUACACGCGAAGAUUAUUUGGAGGAAAUCAACGCGCUGGUAGGGAAGAUUGACGACCUGGAGAAUAAGAUUGGAGCAUUCGUGGGAAAUCCAGUGCCAAAAGCAGAAGUCGAUGAAUGCACUUGUCCGGAUAAUUACAUCAUCAUCGACGACACCGACUCGGAACCAAGUGAAGACGAAUGGAUUGAUGAAGCUGGAGUAGACAUCAUGGAGUCUUCAACGGAUCAGAAUUUUUAGUAGACCACCAUAUCAGUAGUAGUUUUCCCCCAUUUAAUAGUAUAGUUCAAGCACUUUGUAACGCUAGUUAGAUCGAUUGUUUUGCCUUGUUUGGAUUGAUUGAGUGAUAUUGAUUGAAUUUGUCUCAUGAGCAUAUGGGUAGUGUUUUCUCUCUAGACCUCAUUCUGUUCUUAAUUCUCAUCUUUUCUAAACCUAUCAGAUGCCUCCGAGACGCGACACCGGAUUUGUUUUCCCGCCAGAGAUCACCCAGUUGAUUCAGCAACAGAAUGCCCUGAUGCAAGUGUUAGUGCAGAACCAAGGCAACAAUAACAACAACAACCCACCGCCACCACCACCUGUAGAUCACUUAGCCCGUUUCUUAAGGCUAAACCCGCCGGUGUUUUCCAGUAGCACCGAGCCGAUUGUUGCAGAUGAUUGGCUCCGCAAAGUUGGAAGGGAGUUGACCACUGCAGGAUGCACAGAUGCGGAAAGAGUGUGUUUUGCCGCACAUCAGCUUGAUGGACCCGCAGCAUCAUGGUGGGAGAAUUAUACAGCCACGCACCCUAUUGACACUGUCACAUGGGACCAGUUUCAGCAAGCUUUCCGUACAGCUCAUGUUUCAGCAGGAGCUAUGGCUAUGAAGAAGCGUGAGUUUCGCAACCUACGCCAAGGAGGACGCACCGUAGGCCAGUAUGUGGAGGAUUUCAGUAAGUUAGCACAUUAUGCACCAGAUGACGUUGCUACAGAUGCAGCCAAGCAGGAGAAGUUUUUGGAAGGACUGAAUGAUGAGCUGAGUAUGUAGUUGAUGGUAGCAACCUUCAACAACUACCAGGAGCUGGUAGAUAGAGCUCUCAUGAUUGAAGGGAAGCAACAGCAGAUUGAAAACCGUAAGAGGAAGUAUGGACAAGGGAAAUAUAACUCAGGAGCUCAGCAGAAGCCUCGUUUUACCCCGAAGCCGGGAGGACAGUUUCAGCAUACCCAUGGAGGAGGUAGCUCGCACAACCAUAAUGGCUCCAAGAAUGGUAAUGGGAAUGGAGGAAGCAACGGACAGAACCGCACCAACCCAUCUACCCCAGCCAAGAGGGACCUGAGCCAAGUCACUUGUUUUAAGUGCCAGAAGAAUGGACAUUAUGCCAAUGAAUGUCCUGAAGCCCAAAAUGGAAAUGGCAAUGGAAGCUCUGGGAAGAAGCCGAACCCGUUCAACAAAGGACAUGUGAACCACGUGAGCGUGGAGGAGGUUGAAGCUCAGCCUGAUGCAGUAAUAGGUAAGUUUUUGGUUAAGUCAUUUACUGCAACUGUUCUUUUCGAUACUGGUGCAUCGCAUUCAUACAUAUCAAGGGGAUUCGUGAAUAAGUUUAAGAUGUCCACCAAAGUUCUCAGAAACCCUAUGUUAGUAACCUCGCCAGGAGCAGAGUAUAUGGCCACCCAAGGAUGUUUUCAGAUACCAUUGGCCAUUGGUAGGCAUGUUUUCCCCUCAGACCUCAUUGUUUUGGAAUCGCAAGGUUUGGGUGUGAUUUUGGGAAUGGAUUGGCUAUCGUUGUAUGGAGGAAACAUCGAUUGUGCCAGCAAGACGAUUUUGCUUACCACCCCGGAAGGAAAAAGGAUCAAGUAUGUAUCCCGGCAUAUGCCGAAGAGGACUCAAGUGAAUUCCUUAUCAGGAGUUGUACAGGAGGAAGUACCAGUGGUGAAAGAUUAUCCGGAUGUAUUUCCAGAAGAGUUGCCAGGCAUGCAACCGGAUAGAGACAUUGAGUUCUUGAUUGAACUUUUGCCAGGCACAGGGCCAAUAUCUAAGAGACCGUACAGGAUGCCCGCAAAGGAUUUGGAGGAAAUUAAGAAGCAGAUCAAGGAGUUACUGGAUAAAGGCUAUAUUCGCCCGAGUUCGUCACCUUGGGGAUCACCAGUACUUCUAGUGGAGAAGAAAGAUGGAUCACUAAGGAUGGUUGUUGAUUACCGAGGAUUGAAUGAAGUGACCAUCAAAAACAAGUACCCACUGCCGAUGAUCAAUGAUUUGUUUGACCGCCUGCAAGGAGCUAAGGUAUUUUCCAAGAUCGAUCUACGAUCAGGAUACCAUCAGUUAAAGAUUCGAGAGCAGGAUAUACCUAAGACGGCAUUUACCACCAGAUAUGGAUUGUAUGAGUAUACCGUUAUGUCAUUUGGACUGACUAACGCACCGGCCUAUUUCAUGAACUUGAUGAACAAAGUGUUUAUGGAGUUUUUGGAUAAGUUCGUCGUGGUGUUCAUUGAUGAUAUUUUAAUCUUUUCCAAGGAUGAAGAAGAGCAUGAGGAGCAUUUACGAUUGGUACUUGAGAAGCUCAGAGAACAUCAGUUAUAUGCCAAGUUCAGCAAAUGUGAGUUUUGGUUGAAGGAAGUUGGAUUCCUUGGACAUGUUAUUUCUGGAGAAGGAAUAGCAGUAGACCCUGCCAAGGUUGACACCGUGACAAGUUGGGAAUCACCCGCGACAGUUGGAGAAAUCCGGAGUUUUCUUGGACUUGCAGGAUACUACCGGAGGUUUAUUGAGAAUUUCUCAAGGAUUGCUAAGCCCAUGACUGAGCUAUUGAAGAAGGACACCAAAUUCAAUUGGACUGAGGAAUGUGAAGCUAGUUUCCAAGAGUUGAAGAAAAGAUUGGUUACCUCACCAGUGUUGAUUCUGCCAGAUCAACGCAAGGAUUAUGAAGUUUAUUGCGACGCUUCACGUCGAGGACUUGGAGCAGUGCUUAUGCAGGAAGGAAGAGUUGUGUCGUAUGCUUCACGACAACUUAAACCCCAUGAGAAGAAUUAUGCUACGCAUGAUUUGGAAUUAGCAGCCGUGGUGCAUGCAUUGAAGACAUGGAGACAUUUUCUCAUCGGAAACCAUUGUGAAGUGUACACGGAUCACAAGAGUUUGAAGUACAUUUUCACGCAGAAGGAGUUAAAUCUCAGACAGAGGAGAUGUUUGGAGCUCAUCAAGGAUUAUGAUUUGAGAUUGCAUUAUCACCCUGGAAAGGCUAACGUAGUAGCAGACGCGUUGAGCCGCAAGAGUCAUGUUAACACCCUCAUGACCGGAGAGUUACCGCAGGAGUUAGCCGAGGACCUACGCGAGCUAUGUUUGGAGAUAGUCCCAAGAGGCUAUUUAGCGACAUUGGAGAUUCAGUCUACCUUGAUGGAAAGGAUCAGAGAAGCUCAGAAGACAGACAAGGAGAUUGAGGAGAUAAAGGAGAAGAUGAGCAAAGGAAAAGCCAAGGGAUUUCGUGAGGAUGAGCACGAUACCUUAUGGUUCGAGGACCGCGUAUAUGUGCCAAAUGAUCCGGAGAUCAGGAAGUUGAUUUUGCAAGAAGCCCAUGAUUCACCGUACUCGAUUCACCCAGGGAAUACCAAGAUGUAUUUGGAUUUGAAGAAUACUUUCUGGUGGACCGGAAUGAAGAAGAAUAUUGCGGAGUAUGUAGGAGUUGUGAUGUAUGUCAGAGAGUGAAGGCAGAGCAUCAGAAGCCAGCAGGAUUGCUACAGCCAUUGCCGAUACCCGAAUGGAAGUGGGAUAAAAUAGGCAUGGAUUUUAUCACAGGAUUACCCAGGACUCGUUCAGGCUAUGACUCGAUAUGGGUUGUAGUCGACCGUUUGACGAAAGUGGCUCAUUUCAUUCCAGUGAAAACCACUUACACCAGUGCUAAGUUGGCAAAGAUAUACAUGACCAGGAUCAUAUGUUUGCAUGGAGUUCCGAGGACCAUUGUAUCAGACAGAGGAACCCAAUUUACCUCGAAGUUUUGGAAGCAGUUACAUGAAACGUUGGGAACCAGGCUGGAAUUUAGUACAGCAUUUCACCCACAGACAGAUGGACAGACCGAGAGAGUCAACCAGAUUUUGGAGGACAUGUUGAGAGCAUGUGCACUAGAUUAUGGAUCUAGUUGGGACGACAAUUUGCCAUAUGCGGAGUUUUCGUAUAACAACAGUUACCAAACCAGUUUGAAGAUGGCCCCUUUCGAAGCUUUGUACGAAAGGAGGUGUAGAACACCGUUGUUAUGGGAUGAAGUUGGAGAUCGUCAGUUGUUUGGACCAGAUUUGAUUAAGGAGUCUGAACAGAAAGUGAGGUUGAUUCGCGAUAGGCUCAAGAUAGCCCAGUCCAGGCAGAAGAGUUAUGCUGAUUCUAAACGAAAGGAGACAGUUCACGAAGUCGGAGACAGAGUGCAUCUUUGAGUAUCACCACUUCUAGGAGUGAAGCGCUUUGGAGUUAAAGGAAAGUUAGCGCCCCGUUUUAUCGGACCAUACAGAGUGUUGGAACGUAUGGGAGAAGUUGCCUACAAGUUGGAAUUGCCCGAAGGAUUGUCUGGAGUUCAUGAUGUAUUUCACGUUUCGCAGUUGAAGAAGUGCCACGCAGAGAUGGCUGAGAUACCGCUGAGAGAUACUGUGCCACUGGAAGCGAUUCAGUUGGAAAGUGAUUUGACCUAUGAGGAGAAGCCAGUUAAGAUUCUCGAGUAUGCCAGCCGAGUUACCCGCAGCAAGGUUAUCAAGUUUUGCAAAGUUCAGUGGAGUCACCACACGGAAGACGAAGCCACCUGGGAGCGAGAGGAAGAUCUACGGAAAAACCACUCCCACCUGUUUUCUAGCCAACCCGAAUCUCGAGGGCGAGAUUCAUCUUAAGGGGGGUAGGUUUGUAACAUCCCAAAUUUUCAAUUUGGAAUGUUAUACAUAGAUCAUCAUUGCAUAUCAUGUUUUGUUGCAUUUUGACAAAAUCCUCAAUAAAUCCUAAGCAACUCAAGGACCCUCGGAGAGAGUUGGGGAUUUUCUCGAAUUUUCAAAUUUGAUUUUCAAAUGAGGAUUUGUGGUUUUAAUUAUUUUCCCUCCAGAAAAAUAUUUCAUUUUAAAUAAACGAGAGGAGAAAAUAUGACUUCUCCAAAACAAUUUAAAUACUGGAGGAAAAAUGUUAAAACCAUUAUUUGGAAUUUAUUUGCAAUUUUUAUUGCAUUAAAAAUAUUGCAUGUUUUCAAAAUAUUUAUUUUGGAUUUUAAAAAUGUUCACCCUAUUCUAGAUUUUCUAACUAGACGGGGAAAAUAUAUUUCAUAUUUUUCUGAUUUUUAUUUAUUUUUCUAUGAAUUAUUUUCCGCGGAACUUAUUUAAAAAAAACGCCCGCGCGCCGACUGGGCCAAAGGCCCAGCUGACGGCCCGCCUCGCGCCUUUCUCUUCCCGCACGGGAGCUCGCCGCCGCCAUGACCGAAUCCGGCCGCCGCACGCCUCCCCUCGCCCGACCCCUUCCCCNNNNNNNNNNCCCGCGCCCCUCGCCGCCCCUCGCCCCGAGCCGGAGCCCCUCGCCGGAGCCCGCCCGUCGAGGUACUGCCGCCGCCCGUUUCCGUCGUUGCAGGUUUUCUGUAAAAAAAACCCCUUCGUUUUUAAAAAAAAAAUCCUAGAUCGGUUUUUUUCGGUUUUAUUAUUUUACGAGCGUUCACUGAACCGUUCGUUUUAACGAACGCGUUCGUCGGUUUUUCUCUGUUAACGAACGUCCGUUAUUUAACCGUUCGUCCGUUUUUCUUUUUCGUCGGAUUUUUCUCGUUAUUUUCUCAGAUUCGAUUUCUGAUCGAAUCUUCGAUUCUGUUUAACUUCUCGCUCUUUUAUCGGAAUCAGGCAAUUCAAGCGCCUAGAGUUUCGUCUCGAAAUUCUCUUUCCGUUUAACCUACUCAAACAAGUUUUUGCUACAGUAAAAUUUGACCUAGAUCCAGAUUAGCAAACGAAGUUUCUUUCUUUCGCCGUUUGACCUUCGUUGCUUCUUUCGAGUUGAUUCUUUUUGCAAACCGGAGUUCUUAAGUUGAACUUUCUGGUUGGAUCUUUCAUUCGAGUUUUACCUGUGCAUUAGAUGAGUACUGAUUGUAUGCUUGUUUGUUUGCGAUAGAGUACCCGGAGUGUGCCGCUUGUUACUUCGAGUCGCUAGGUUUUGCGGAUCAUCAGCAAGGCAAGUAACACUUUGAUCAUAUCCAGUUCAUACCCAGUUUUAUUGCAUUAGAUCUGUUUUCCUCAAACAUUGCAUGAUUAGGAUCUAAUUAAAUUGUGGGUAUUGGGAAGUAGUUGAGGUAGAACCUAGUACCUGUUUUCUAUUCAAACCCUUGGGAGUUACUUCUACGUUGCUUUUAUUAUUGCUAUGCUAUGCUAGUAGACGUGGAUUGGGUUUGACUGAAAUUCAUGACAGAUGUGAGAUUGUUAAUUAAUGGUUUACUUAAGGUGGCAAUUUAAACUCACAUCUGGGUGGAUUGAGGUACCUGGGUAUUCCAGGAUUGCCUGUUUUUCUUUUGGACCGCCACCCAGGUUCAAGAGGAUCAUGAGAUUAUUCAUGCUAGAAACUUCUGUGUGCAGCCGCAAGCUAUUAUGGGCUCUAGCAUAGUUGACUAAGUUGUGUGAACUCUUACAGUGGUAGACUAGCAGAUGUAGGGGAAAGUAGGUGUAACUAUCUACCCAUACGUAAGGUGCAAACACUUCUGAAAGACUGUGUCUUGGUCAUCCGUUACUCAAACACCAUGUAGUGCGAGUAAUCCAACGGAGGAGAUCAAGUCUUGUGGGGAAAAGUGCACAAACCUCUGCAGAGUGUACAAACUAAUCAUGGUUAGCCGUGUCCCCGGUUAUGGACAACUUGAGUAUCUGGUACUUGGAUUAUCAUGUGAAUCCCAACACUAUGUUACUUCUAAUUAAUUUUGUUGGGUUAUUGAUGACUUCUAAUUGGGAUUGAGAUGCUGUCAACCAUCUCAAUGUUUCACAACCACCAUGAUAGUUAAAUAAAAUUUAUUCCUGUGAAGUAGGAUAAAAUUGGCUUUUCGCAAAAACUGUAACCAUAGAGCUUUCCACCAGCCAUAUAUGCAUGUAGUAUAGCAUUGUUAUUCAUUAUUCUCUAUGUGUUACAUUGCCAGCAUAUUCUAUGUGCUGACCCGUUUUCGGGCUGCAACGUUUCAUGUUGCAGACUUUUCAGACGACGAGUAAGAUGCCUUAGGUCGUGGUCUUAUACUCAGUGAUGCCGCUGGAGUUGAUGGACUCACUUAUCUUCCAAGUCUUCCGCUGUUAUCGUUAUUAGAUGGCCUUAAGCCAUGCUUAUCAUACUUAAUCUCUUCGGAGAUAUUCGAUGUAAAUAAGUGUGUGAUUGCCACUCUGUUAUAAAUCCUCCAUUUGUACUGUGCGUGUCAGUAUUACUGAUCCAGGGAUGACACUGGUGCACAGCAGCACAGACCAUUUGAGGUCUGGUCGCUACAUUAGAAUAGACCCACCCUGGGUGAUAUAUAGGGUGGGUCUAUUCUAAUAACACCAUUAAGAGUCUUAUUCUCGUCACCCUGGAUGAGGAAUAGUUAUUCUUCACCCCCCCAUCUAUUUUACCACCAAUGCACUAUAAUUUUACGUUCCGUAAGUUUUGUCUUAUUUCUGACGUAAAAAAGACCGUAAGAAAAUAUAUAUUCAUCGUAAAAAAUAUUUUAUGUUAUGUAUAAUUACAAACGUAAAAACAUAGUGUAAAAUUUACAUAAACUUCAAAUUUUCUUGUCUUAUGACCUAUAUUUUUAUUUUCUUAAACCAAAUUUUACGUAGUGAAUCAAUAGGAAUGUAACUAUUUGAAUUCCAAAUGUAAUUUAAUUAUGAAGUGAUCGUAAGAUUACCUCGGGUGCAGAAUAAGUUAUUCUUCACCCGAGAUAAUCUUACGAUCGUUUCAUAAAUAAAUUACAUAUGGAAUACAAAUAGUUACAUUCAUGUCGAUUCACUACGUAAAAUUUGGCAUAAAAAUAACCAGAAAGAUUGCAUUUUGUGUAUAUUUUACACUAUAUUUUUACGACUAUAUUUACGUAACAUAAAAUAUUUUUUACGGUGAUUUUUUUUUACGUUCUCUUAUUACAUAUGAAAUAAGACAAAAAUUUACGAAACGUAAAAUUACGGUGCAUUGAUGUUAAAAUAGAGGGGGUGAAGAAUAACUAUUCCUCACCCAUGGNNNNNNNNNNNNNNNNNNNNNNNNNNNNNNNNNNNNNNNNNNNNNNNNNNNNNNNNNNNNNNNNNNNNNNNNNNNNNNNNNNNNNNNNNNNNNNNNNNNNNNNNNNNNNNNNNNNNNNNNNNNNNNNNNNNNNNNNNNNNNNNNNNNNNNNNNNNNNNNNNNNNNNNNNNNNNNNNNNNNNNNNNNNNNNNNNNNNNNNNNNNNNNNNNNNNNNNNNNNNNNNNNNNNNNNNNNNNNNNNNNNNNNNNNNNNNNNNNNNNNNNNNNNNNNNNNNNNNNNNNNNNNNNNNCACCACACAUUAGCCACAGUUAGACAAAAAGUUUCACAUAUGGCCACAGGAAGCUGGAAACAACUCAUGAUGUAAGUUUAGCACAGGGGUGCGAACUUCUUUAAUCCAUUUGAGCCGGAUUUUAUUUUUCGUUUCUUUCGCAGUUUUCCAAUAUUUUUUUUAUUUUGUCUUUCUGUUUUCUUUGGCUUUCUUUAUUCUCCUUUUUCUUUCUUUUAUUUUGAUUCAUUUUUAUUUCUUCUUCUCCUUUUUUUCAUUCUUUUUUGCAUUUUGUUUCUUUGUUUUUGUCUAUUUUGUUUAUAUUUUCGGUUUUCUUUACUCUUUUGUUAUUAUUAUAAAAAAUAUGUCAACAAUAUUUUUCAAAUACACAUCUAACAAUUUUUAUCCAACUUUUUUUUCUUAUGUUUGUUUUCCUUUUCAUUCUAGAUUUUCGUAUAUGUCAAAACAUCUUUUUAAUAAAGUGAUCAACAUUUUUUGUAUACAUGUUCAACAUUGUCCGAACGCUUAUUCAACAUUUUAUAAAUAUUUGUUCAACAUUCUAAUACUUAUUCUACAUUUUUCAAAUACAUGUUUUUUUAAUACUUAUUCAACAUUUUCAAAUAAUUAUUUAACAUUUUCAAAUAUUUGUUAAACAUUUUUAAUACUUACUCAAUAUUUUUUAAUAAUUGUUCAAUAUUUUUCAUAAACUCAUUCUACAAUUUUUACUCCUUAUUCAACAUUUGUCGAAAACUUGUUCAACAUUUUUAGUACUUAUUCAAAAAAAAUACAUGUUCAAUAUUUUUUCAAAUACUUGUUCAACAUUUAUUUAAUACUUACUCAACAUCUUUCACCUACUUGUUCAACAUUUUUUGAAUGUGUUUCUCAAGAGUGUUNNNNNNNNNNNNNNNNNNNNNNNNNNNNNNNNNNNNNNNNNNNNNNNNNNNNNNNNNNNNNNNNNNNNNNNNNNNNNNNNNNNNNNNNNNNNNNNNNNNNNNNNNNNNNNNNNNNNNNNNNNNNNNNNNNNNNNNNNNNNNNNNNNNNNNNNNNNNNNNNNNNNNNNNNNNNNNNNNNNNNNNNNNNNNNNNNNNNNNNNNNNNNNNNNNNNNNNNNNNNNNNNNNNNNNNNNNNNNNNNNNNNNNNNNNNNNNNNNNNNNNNNNNNNNNNNNNNNNNNNNNNNNNNNNNNNNNNNNNNNNNNNNNNNNNNNNNNNNNNNNNNNNNNNNNNNNNNNNNNNNNNNNNNNNNNNNNNNNNNNNGGUGCCUGAAAUUUAGGUCACCUCUCCUCUGGCUGCCAUCGGGCCUCGGAUCUUCAAGACAUCUAUGUUCUUCGCCAACGUCUAGUGAUCAUUAUAAUUUUGUGAGAAUAAAUUUCCUCUCGUUCUUUUGGCGAUGCCAUGAGGUUAGAGAGUUUUUUGUCCUCGCAGAUCCGAUUAUUCGGAUCUGAUGAGUUUAUGUGAUUCUUUGUGGAGUUGAAAUCUUUCGUUGGCACCAUGGUGAAGAUAUAGUGAUUUGACGGCCUGCACUUUUAGGGGAUCAUCCCCGGCCAAAGUACGUUCAUCGAUCAAGGCUUCCUUUCUUUUUGAUGGGCGACUCAAGGCGCUUUUAAAAACCAUUAUUGGUAAUGUUCGUGCGGGUAAAAGAGUGACAAUAUCGUUGCUUCAGUCCAGUCCAAUUACAGCCUCUUUAACGAAGUAUUUGGAGUAUUUCUUCGAGCAGAGAUUGAUACCACAAAGGUGUUUUCAAGGGAUUUCAUUGUAAUGUAUUUUUUUGGAUCUUAUGUCCAAAUCAGUGAGUAUGAACAAGGUGUUUCCCAAAAAGAGAAGUUGAUUUAGGCUUGGCGACUCGUGCUUUCGGAAGACUGUUUGCGCACUGAUAUGCUUAGAACCUAUUUUCUGCAUGUAUCGUGCUUUCAGAAGACAGUUUGUGCAACUGAUAAUCUUACAAUCAUCAACAUGACAAGUUGGCAAUUACAGGAAGUGCAAGUAAGGUGGGAUCAUGUGUAAAGCCAUAUCAAGAAAUGCUAUCUAUUUUCUGCAUGCAUCUCCUUUAUCUUAAAAUCAUCAAAAUGCCAAGUUGGAAUUACAGGAAGUGCAAGUAAAGUGGUAUCAUGUAUAAAGCCAUAUCAAGAAAUGCUAUAUAUUUUUUGCAUCCAUCGCCUUUAUCGUAAAAUCAUCAAAAUGCCAAGUUGCAAUUACAGGAAGUGCAAGUAAAGUGGUAUCAUGUGUAAAGCCAUAUCAAGAAAUGCUAUCUAUGGCUUCAGAGUUCAGAUUCAACACAUUUGCACUGUCUAAAACAAGAGAAACAGCCAGUGUGGGAGACUUUGAGUACGAGCUAAUAAUAUCAAUGCACUCGAGUACUGAAACCUCUUAAUACAUAAAAAAUGGACAAACACAAUGUCGGUGGUUUUUCUUCCAUAUAACAACAAUCCUGGAUCGGUGCACACCAAUAUGUUAAUAAAACUCUCACAAUCAAACUUUGACAAACACAAUGCAAAUCGAUGUAGGCAUUCAUCAGUGUUAAACUAA